AUACCUUCUGUCUAAGCUGAUAAGACCAAAUACUACAUUUCUAUCUUAAUGUCUGAUACGUCCUGCAUUGCAGGACCAGAAUAUUAAGAUCAUUUUUGGCUCAUGACAGAGUGCUAGGGGCUUGUCCCACCUCUGUCGCAGACUGGUCAAGCAUUACUGUACUACCGGGUUCAGCCCACCUAAA